rnacentral:rRNA from 1 species
GACAGAGGGUGCAAACGUUGCUCGGAAUUACUGGGCGUAAAGGGCGUGUAGGCGGGAAGGCAAGUCGGGCGUGAAAGCCCCAGGCUCAACCUGGGAACUGCACUCGAAACUGCCUUUCUUGAGUGCCGGAGAGGAAAGCGGAAUUCCGUGGUGUAGAGGUGAAAUUCGUAGAUAUCAGGAGGAACACCAGUGGCGAAGGCGGCUUUCUGGACGGUAACUGACGCUGAGACGCGAAAGCGUGGGGAGCAAACAGG